CUGUUCUGAAAGGGGACAAUGAGCAAACAGUAGGGAGAAAGUCCACGCGCUGUUGGAACUUUCACUUUGCCGCUCACGUGACCACUUUCUCUUUGCCCGGUCCUCGAUGAGUGACUCAACUCAAAUCAUUAUCUGUAGUCCAGGGACGAGUAUCGGUUGUUUAAAAAAAAGAGCAUUGCUUGUUACGUUGUUUGGUUACCGAGACUUUUUGUAGGGCUGAAGAAAAAGUCCCAUUGAGAGAGUAGUUUCUGCUACAGGCCCUGUGACGGAUGGACGGACGGACGGAUUGCAACAUGCAGAGGCUGAAAUCUGAUUGAAAUAAAUAAAUAGGAUGUCUCGCACAAACAAUAGCAGGCUGUCAUGAUUCAUUGACUAAUCCUCAUCUUUUUUGAUAGUCAAUAAACCAUUUAGAGACACUGUUGAACUGAAAAUUGUCAAAACCUUUUUUGUUGUUGUUUUUCUUUGAAUUAUUAUUUCCAUAUUUAUUUCCCUUAAAAAUGAAAGGAAACAGAAAAAAAGUAUGCUCUUUUUUCAACAUUUUUUUUAGUUAGGAAAACCGCAAAUAUUUCCUAUUGACGUUUCGUUUCAUUUUGAUCUUUUAUUUCGAUCUGGCCUACGAGCCACCGGUUUAACACAACCACUAUUCAUGUCGAUUCAUUCGACGGCCGAUUUGUCACGUUAGCGCCGGAUGAAUCGCCAAACAAUACAAAACUUUCUAUCGACAUUUUACACGUCUAUCGUCAUCAUCGCCAUAAGUAGACCUGUUUUGGCCGGCGGAUCUCGGGCAAUUUGCUCCGAUUGGUGACAUCGACGGGAUUCAAUAUGCCGUAGCGGUACCGCCCGUUGUUUUCCAGAUUCCCCAUUUAGCCAAUUAGCUUGCCCUGCCAAUCGUACGGGAGUAAUGCAUGCAAGACAAUCCAAAAUAAUACGCACCCAACACAGACUCAACAUCGUUUCAUUUGUUAUUAAGGAUAUUACACUAACUUAAUAUACAGCCAUAGACUUCAAGAAACCUUGACAGGUCAUAUUAGGUAUUCUCUGCGCCCCGCCGGCCCGUAGGGUGCUGUGUGAGUCAGCUACAUUCAUUAGAAGUCGGUGGGAAUGACUCUCACACAUGCUUUUGAACACAAAACUGGAAGUGCCUUCAGUCUGGACCGCAUACUAACAACAAGGAUUGUCUCAGGAGUGAUUUGUUCGAGGAUUCAAGUGGAACACCAUGGUUCUACACCAACCCCUACGACGACGGCAACAAGCAGAUCUUCGUCUACUUUGACCCCGUGCACCUUUGGAAGAAUGUCUACAGCAGCUUCCACAACAACGGCUGUAUGGUGCUGCCCAAGUGUCCUGGGGCUGAAGAGCCUGAGAGGAUGAGGACGGCCCGAUUCUCCAGCCUGAAGGCGCUGGCCAGCUGGGAGAACUACAUGUCGGUCAAAGCAGGCUACAAGUUGACCCAGAAGGUGCCGACGCCCUCUUCGAUCGAGAAGCGGCGCGUCGGGCUCAUCGUGGCGGUCGUCAACCCCGAGGUGGUCGCCGGGCAAGGAGGAAGACGGGGACAAGGCUGACGUUCUCAAGAUGCUCCAGAGGAUGAUCUCUGUGAUGAACGUGCGCGGGCCGGGGUUGGACGUGCGCUGGAAUGAUAACAACCGAUGUGUGCUGCGGCCGAGAGCGGGAGGUGGUGAGGGCGGGGAAGGAGUUGUUGAGGACCAGGCAGGCAAUUUGAUGAGCAGUCGGAGGCCAACGUCCAGUUCCUCUGGGAGAUUGGUGAAAUUUGCGAGGUACGCAACCACACUGUAGUUGAUUCAAUUGAACUGAAUUGAAUCGACAGCAAGCUUGUUCAGUUUUGAUCUUUUGGAUUUUGUCAAAUGUUCCGGAUUUGGGCCAAAAAGGAGAAGAAAAAGAAAAGAGGGACAAAGACCGCUAGGCCGCCGACGCCCACUGCCUCGGCUCAGCACCUCACCUCCUGCAGGGAUAUCAUCCUCCGCAAAAUCCCGGGGGUCAAGUAUGUCUGCGUGGGGAAGGAGCACUCAUUUGGCAAGCGCCGCCCCAAAUACCGGACCAGCAUAAAGAACUUCAUGGUCAGCAAUAGGCCGGUCCAGCGCCGGCACUUGCUUAAGAUCGUCGGGUUCUACCCCGUGGACGCGCAGGCUGACCUGGACCGUGCCAAGGCAGAGGAGAACAAGGAUGACGAGGUGAUCUUGACGUUCCUGAUGGCAGGGGUACAGGUGCCAGGAGGGGCACAGGCUGGUCAACACCAUUUGGCCGCACAUCAGCAGGUCAACUGUUUUGGUGCCAACUUCUCCGAGGAUGUGACUUCCGAAGCGAGGACGUACAAAGCCUUAGAGUGGCAGACCGGCAGAAAGGAGAUGGCGAGGAACAGAGACUCGUACAAGUGGAGGAAGCUGACAAGGCAUAGUCCAAUAUUCAUUUGCAUGCAAUAUUCUAUAUUCAAUACUUUCCCUCCAUGCAUUAUUCAAAGCAAUAACUGUCAAAAUGCUGCUCAUUCACUUCGAUUAUUUGCACUGCCUGAACAUACGACUAUCUCAUACGCAUUUUAUAUUUGUUUAUUUAAAUUUUAUAUUUGCAAGUCACUUUUGAGAUCUUCAUUUAUAAUGCACAGUAAAGGGAAAUCCUCCACAAUUAUACAAUAAAGGGCGAUUCUAUUCUAUUCUAUUCUAUUCUAUAAUAAGUUGUGAUUGUAUGUACAAUUUAUUAAUAAUAUAUAUUUAUAUAUUAAUGAUAGUUGAUUCUGCAUGUU